AAAUGACUCUCGGCAACGGAUAUCUCGGCUCUCGCAUCGAUGAAGAACGUAGCGAAAUGCGAUACUUGGUGUGAAUUGCAGAAUCCCGCGAACCAUCGAGUCUUUGAACGCAAGUUGCGCCCGAAGCCAUUAGGCCGAGGGCACGCCUGCCUGGGCGUCGCG
rnacentral:rRNA from 1 species